GGGCCCGUAGCUCAGGCGGACAGAGCAGCGGUUUCCUAAACCGCGGGUCGGGGGUUCGAGUCCCUUCGGGCCCACCA
rnacentral:tRNA from 1 species